UACAGAGGGUGCGAGCGUUAAUCGGAAUGACUGGGCGUAAAGGGCGCGUAGGCGGUUUUUUAAGAUUGAUGUGAAAGCCCCGGGCUUAACCUGGGAAUGGCAUCGAUGACUGAGAAGCUGGAGUACUGUAGAGGGCAGUGGAAUUUCCGGUGUAGCAGUGAAAUGCGUAGAGAUCGGAAGGAACACCGGUGGCGAAGGCGGCUGCCUGGACAGAGACUGACGCUGAGGCGCGAGAGCGUGGGGAGCAAACAGG
rnacentral:rRNA from 1 species